GUUACUUAGUCGACUCAGAUGGGGAUUGAGUUGUCUAAGUCUCAAGUUAGCCAACUCAGUCUCAGUGAGUCGACUAACUUGUGGCCAAAUAGAAAGUUGAGGUUUUGAAAAAUCUGUGGCAGCAUGCGGGAGGGUCGACCCAAUUUCGAUUUGAGUCAACUAAGUUUUGUGGUGAGUCAACUUAGUCUCAGAUGAGUCGACUCUGCUGUGAAAAAAUAGUGAGACU
rnacentral:lncRNA from 1 species